CCGUCACUGUUGCUAGUGUGCAACUCUGGGGACACGGCUGGAAUUGCACUUUAGCAAUGGUGACGG
rnacentral:pre_miRNA from 12 species